UGAGAAACAACUUUGUGUGGUUCUUCAUGUUAAAACAAACUACUUUGAUGACAUGGAUUUUACUUUGAUACAGAGAAAUCCGUCCCAAGCCAAACUAAAUGGUGAAGAUAACUUCUGUGAGGGAAUGUCUGCUGGCCAUUUUGGGCUCUGGAAACAGCAUUUAUUCAGACCAUUCAGUGAGCAACAGUGAGAAGUCAAUGAUAAGACAGCAUUGGAGGGAGCAAGGCUUCCACAAGAUAUUUGUCACAUACAGGAACAAGUCAUAUGCUUCAAAAAUAUAGCAGUUUAGUGCAAAAUUCAACUUGAAUUAGAUCUAUUGGAGAAGAACAACAGAACAGAGCUAGCCAGAGAAAUGUUAAACAAAUGCUGUUGCAAAAAGCAUUAAGAAGAUUUAAUUCGAUUUCCU